CCUACGGGUGACAGCAGUGAGGAAUAUUGGUCAAUGGGCGAGAGCCUGAACCAGCCAAGUCGCGUGAGGGAGUACUGCCCUAUGGGUUGUAAACCUCUUUUGUCGGGGAGCAAAAGCCGGACGUGUCCGGCUGUGAGAGUACCCGAAGAAAAAGCAUCGGCUAACUCCGUGCCAGCAGCCGCGGUAAUACGGAGGAUGCGGGCGUUAUCCGGAUUUAUUGGGGUAAAAGGGUGCGCAGGCGGAUUUUUAAGUCAGCGGUCAAAUCGUGGGGCUCAACCCCAUCCAGCCGUUGAAACUGGGGAUCUAGAGUGUGCGAGAGGUAUGCGGAAUGCGUGGUGUAGCGGUGAAAUGCAUAGAUAUCACGCAGAACACCGAUUGCGAAGGCAGCAUACCGGUGCACAACUGACGCUCAGGCACGAAAGCGUGGGUAUCGAACAGGAUUAGAUACCCGAGUAGUC
rnacentral:rRNA from 1 species